rnacentral:rRNA from 1 species
UACAGAGGGUGCGAGCGUUGUUCGGAAUUAUUGGGCGUAAAGGGCGCGUAGGCGGUGCCACAAGUCACUUGUGAAAUCCCCGGGCUUAACUCGGGGCCUGCAGGCGAAACUGUGGUGCUGGAGUUUGGGAGAGGGAUGCGGAAUUCCAGGUGUAGCGGUGAAAUGCGUAGAUAUCUGAAGGAACACCAGUGGCGAAAGCGGCUUCCUGGUCCAGUACCGACGUUCAGGCACGAAAGCGUGGGGAGCAAACAGG